CCCGCUCAGAAACUCAAAGGAAUUGACGGGGCCCGCACAAGCGGUGGAGUAUGUGGUUUAAUUCGAUGCAACGCGAAGAACCUUACCUGGUCUUGACAUCCCGGAGACCCUUAGGAAACUAGGGGGUGCUUCCAUCUGGAAGAAUCUGGAGACAGGUGCUGCAUGGCUGUCGUCAGCUCGUGUCGUGAGAUGCUGGGUUAAGUCCCGCAACGAGCGCAACCCUUGCCUUUAGUUGCCAGCAGUUCGGCUGGGCACUCUAAAGGGACUGCCGGUGUUAAACCGGAGGAAGGUGGGGAUGACGUCAAGUCCUCAUGGCCUUUAUGACCAGGGCUACACACGUACUACAAUGGCCGAUACAAAGGGCAGCGACACUGCGAGGUGAAGCCAAUCCCGUAAAAUCGGUCUCAGUCCGGAUUGGAGUCUGCAACUCGACUCCAUGAAGUUGGAAUCGCUAGUAAUCGUGGAUCAGCAUGCCACGGUGAAUACGUUCCCGGGCCUU
rnacentral:rRNA from 1 species